rnacentral:lncRNA from 1 species
UAAAAUCUCAACAUAGAGAUUGUGCUGUAGGGUGUCCUCUUUGUCUGGCUUGCUUGUAUGCCUUGUGAAGCCGAUGGCACUCCUCGUUCCACUAGGGUUUGACUGGUAAGCCGUGCUACUGAGGUGGUUUGCAGGAUGCGGACCAGGAAAUCUGCCCAGAAACCUAUCUGGAUGCCAUGUUGUUCUUGUCUCUAAAGUUCUUCCACCGUGUGCUGCAGAGCAAGCGCUCAAUGGGGCGCAGUUGCUAGAUCACUGGUGCCUGUGUUGGCCAUCCGAUUUGAGUUUUUUCCUUGACUGGAUUUCAAAAGCCCUCUUUUGUGCGGGAAUAUUUUUCCAGAUUGUAUCUUCAAUGCCAAGGGAUGUGUGCCCCUUUCAAUUUGAUGCGCCUGGACAUGCAAUGCCCAAAUUGUCGAGGAGGGCCGCCAGCACAAGGAGUUCCCCUUUAUGUAUCUGCUGUCAAGUGAUUAGGAGUAUGAUGUCUUAAUGGCAGACCAUCACGAGCUGGUAACAAAGAGAAGAAACAUCUCUUUUUACUUUUGUAGUUCAUACAAACUUUGGUUUGUUUGUCUCAUAG